rnacentral:lncRNA from 1 species
UAAAUAUAAAAGAGAAAAAUAAAUAAAAAUAGUAUGAAAUACUAUUUUAUUGGAUUUAAAGAAGUGAAAUAUCGGUUGGGAACGACCUGUGCUGAAAUCGGAGCGAAAACAGAAGAUUUAGAAUUUUCUGUUGGAAACGGGACUGAUAAAUUAGCAGAAAAUGCACAGUCUCAGAAAAUUAUGAAAAUUAGCGGGGAUGUCAGAAAUAUUUUUAUGAGGCUAGAUUUAAAGUUUCAUAUUUUUCUGACACCCGUAGAGUGAGAAAUAAAAUCCGAAAGCUAUCUGAUAAAGAUUGCAGUUCGGCACAGUUUUCGGUGACCAAACGGAGUCGAAACUGAAAACUUAAGAUAUAUUCUUGCUCAGUACGUUAAACUGAGCCUGCCUGUCAAAUUUGAGCGAAAACGGACAUCCGGAAGGGCUCCAACGAAAUUUAUCAGAUUUCAGGCUGCCCGUAGUGAAUAGUGUGUAGUUGAGGGGCAAAAUGGUAAAAUGGGAUUAAAUCCCUUUUGCUUCUUCUUCCUCCCAGCCGUAGCAGCCCAAACCGCACACACACACACGCGCAUGGAAGGGAAGAGAGAAGCCUCUCUUUCUCUCUCUAAAUCUCUCCCAAAAAGAAUGGAUUUGGUGGAGAUUGAAGCUUGGAGGUGGAUCGCCUUCGUCUUCUUCAUCUUCUCCAUGGUUUGGAGCUCAUUUUGAGGUGAGCUUCUUGAGCCCUUUAAUGGUAGAUCUUUAAUGCUUGGUUUAAAUACCUUAUAAAUGGAUUUAGAGGAGUCCUAGCAUGCUAUCUAGAUGAUUAAUGCUUGAAUCAUGGAUCAAUUUAGUGAUUUCUUGCAUAGUUGUAACCUAGGGCUCCAAAAUGCAAACUUUCAAAAUAUGAGGGUUUGAUCUCAUUUGACCCUUCGUAAACCUAAUUGCUAGGUAACGAAACGCGUUGGCGAAGACGGUUCGGCAAUCCGACGAGCCGUUACAAAGUUAUUAAAGAAAUAGACGUUUAGGCUUCGGGUCCGCCGGGAGGGCCGAGGCGACGUCGUAAAAUCAUGGAAAUGGAUUUGAGGCAUCGUGGCACAUAACCGAAGACCUAUAAUUUUCGGGGCUGCGAAGCGGAGCACGGUUGAGGCGCAGUUGCAGUAUCGGGCCGUGCCGGAUACGGGUGCCGCGGGAGGCCGAUUGCAAGUGUCGACAAGCAAUCGGAACGCGAAUUAAGGUGGGUUGUGUUUACCGAAGCGACUAGGUCGCCUUUAUGUCUAAGAAACUAAGAAUCCAUAUUGAUGCAUAUAAAUGUAAAUGAAGCAUGUAAAUGAUGCAUGUAACUAAAUAAUGCAUGUUGAUAGUAUGAUGUAAAUGCUAAAUAGAAUGCAUUAUGAGCAAGUUACAUAAUGCUAAAUAAUGUAAUGUAGAAAUGCUAGAAUGCAUUAUGAGCAAGUUACAUAAUGCUAAAUAAUGUAAUGUAGAAAUGCUAGAAUGCAUAAUGAGCAAGUUAUAUGAUGCAUGUUUAUAGUACGAUGUAAAUGCUAAGUAGAUGCAUAUAAAUGAUAUAUGAGAUUAUAAACGCAUGAUUAGCAUUAUGAGAUCAUAGAUGCAUGCUUAGCAUUGUGAGAUUAUAUAUGCAUAUGAACUUGGCUGAUAACUCUAGCUUGAAUAGAGAGAUAACAUUGAAAAAUGAGAAUUGAUGACUCUAGAAUGAGUAGAAUGCUUAAUUGGACAAUUAGUAUGUGAAUUAGAUCGAGUGGCAUCUAACUUAGUGUUAAGGAACAUAGGUCGUGAGUAGACCUAUAAUCAAAUAGAUCGAGUGGCAUCUAACCUAGUGUUAUUAAACAUAGGUCGUGAAAUGAAAAGUACUUAACCUAGAGUCAAGUGAACCAAGGUUAGAAAGAAUAAUGAUCCUAGUGUAAUAAACCUAGGUUAAGAAUGUGAAAGCAAUAAAUCUAAUGGGUGAACUUAGGUUGAGUAAAGGCUUAGACCUAGAGAGGUCAGUUCCAUAGGGUUAAGACCAACCCCUAUGUGAUCUGAAAUGGAUUCCGGAAUCCCAAGGCUAAAAGGAUACACCCAAAGUGGUGUCGGGUGUGUGCGAUGAUUGCGCCGCCCAAGGGCUAAAGAACCUUUGUCGUGGCGUGUGCGACGAUUUCGCCGCCGGAUGGUUAGCCAGUUUGUGGAUCCUACCGCCUGUUGACUGAACCACUGUCGUGGUGUUUGUGCGACGAUUUCGCCGCCGGGUGGCUAAGUCAUGGACCUAGGCCGUUGUUGGGUGAGGUGCGAUUCGUCCGCCGCCAGACGGCUAGGACAGGAGUACGGUGAGCUGUUGCCAGCUGAGGUGCAUGUGAGAGUUCCUUCACCUCGAGCUAGACAGUGCGCGGACUAUCCGCGAUUGAUUGACUCAAGACCGAGUCGGGUGGCAUAGAGAACUAAGGUAAGAGAAACCUUAGGAAAGAAUGGCCAGUAGAAAAGUGCGACAAAGUGUAAAGAAUAAAGAAUAAGUAAAGAAUAAAGUUCGGCUAAGGAAUAAGAAUAGCUGAUUAGUAAAGAAAGGUUACAAGUAAAGAAUAGCUAAGAGCUAAAAGUAAUUAAAUGACAAGAGUAAAGAAUGAUUAAGAAUAUAAGUAGCGUUAAAGUAACCUACUUGCAUGAUUACAGGUAUUGCAUAUUGCAUUUCGUGAGGCAUGACAUGUAUUUCAAUUGAAUAUAUAUAUCUGUUGUAUAUUGUUGAACUAACAUGUUGCAGUGCCUCGUUAGACCUGUUGGUUGAGCUGGUUCUCUUGGGUGGCUAAACCCACUGAGGACUAUGGACAAUAGUCUCACCCCCGUGUUGCUGUUUUGGGGGUACAGGUACACACGUGUGCGGCGCGGCGGCGCAAGGCGAGGGCGUAGUUCUGCAGAUAGCGCCCUACCCCAGAGACCAGAGCUAGCAGUACCCCAUCUAUAUAGCUUAGGGGUAAAGGAAAUGAAAAGAAUACAAUGUAUCAAACUUGUAGUAAGUAAAUGUUGUAAUAACUUAGAUUGCAUUUGGAUGAAAAAGAAUGGAAACUGUGAUGUAAAAACUAUGAAAGUGAAUGAAUGUAAUAACUUAGGAUGUGUUUAUGUUGUAUGAUACCUUCCACUUGAAAUCUUGAUUGAUAUCCGUUCCUGGUUGGAACCUUCGUGAAUUGUAUUGAUUGCGAUGCUUUGAAUGUACAGGGGAGACUCUGUCCGUAGUACAAGGGAAACCUUGUCCAUUCGGCGAUGUCGGCGGCGCCGGGACCUUGGCCAAAUAGGCGGGUGGUCGCGGGCUGUGACAGUUGUGGUAUCAGAGCAUAAAGUAGAGAAUGGGAAUGGCUUAGACUGACCUAGGAGACCCUAGGAUAGUAAAACCAUAGAAGAAUAAGGCUCGUGAGAGACGAGGACUCAUGAUUCGUGGCGAAAGGUUAAUGGAUUGGGUUGUGUUGUAAACCUCUAAGACGGAUAUUAGAGGUAGACUCGAGGUGUUGUUUAUUCUCAGCCAAGGAUGUUCAUGUUGGGCGUACGACAACAUGAAACCGAGUGAUGUGAAUAAACACCCUUGCGUGACUUUCGCCUGAUUGGCUUUUGAGCCGGUGUUAGUGGUCUCGUGUUCGACCCAAGUUGGUCGAGAACUAAUCGAGUUGUCGUGUUUCAGGAAGCGAUGGCACCGCGUAGGCGAUCUUCUUCCAGAUCGGCGCGGGAGGGGACAAGUGGUGUUCCCGAGCAAGUCGACGCGAGCGAAGGCGCAGAGCUUCGUGAUCAGUUGGCCACACUCAUUGGAGUGAUGAGGCAACAAGCUGAUGUGGUGCAGAGGCAGCAGGAGGCUGCUAUGCGCCAGGAAGAGCGAAUGGAAAGACUCCAAGAAACGGUGGACCAGCUGGUGGGUGCACCAGCUGCGGCUCGUCGAGAACGGCCGGGAGUCGCGGCGGAGAUGUUCCCGUCGGGGUCGGGCGAUCCGACUCCUGUUAGUUCAGAGGUGGCGGCAGAAAGGGAGCGAGCUUUGGCUGCCCUCAUGGCUUUCAAGAAAUUUGAUCCGCCUACCUUCGAUGGUGAGGAUCCAGAUCCGUGGAUCGUGGAGAUGUGGAUUGAUGCCAUGGAAACGCUCUUCGAGGAUCUGUACACGUUGGAGCGAGACAAGGUAAACCUAGUCGCGCAUUAUCUCAAACAGUCGACGAAGGUGUAGUGGAAAGGCGUCAAGCAUGAUCGACCGCCUAGUCUCCCUCCUAUGACGUGGGAAGAAUUUCGGGGAUUGGUGUUCUCUGCUUAUUUCCCCGAUAGCGAGAAGCGGAAGCUCAAGGAAAGGUUCCUUAAGCUGCGGCAAGGAAGUCGCACGGUCAGGCAAUAGGAGCGGGAGUUUUUCCGUAUCGUGCAUUGUAUCCCAAACGUGGUGCGAGAUGACAAGGACAGGGCCGACUGCUUCGUGCGUGGACUUCAGCCAGAUCUUUACCAGGCGGUGCUGGUACUCAAGUUGCAGAUUUUUGCUGAAGUCCUGGAUCGGGCCUUGUGGAUAGAACAGGGCAACGCCUUUAUGCGGGAAGAGCGAGAGGCAUAUUACAAGGAAAAGGGGAAAGGACGACCGACAGGUGGAUCCAGUAGUCAGUCAAGUUCCCAACGGACUUUGACGAGUUCGCACUCGCGAUCCCGAGCUCCGGGGACAUACCGCAUUCAGUCCUCGGCGAAAUGUGCUAUUUGUGGAGGCCCUCAUUUCCCACGACAGUGUGAGCAACGUGAAGGCAAGUACUUCAAGUGUGGGCUGCCGGGUCAUAUGUGGGACGAGUGUCCGCGUGGUGACGGCCGGGCCUUGACACUGGCGACGGCCCAUCCCUCUCUGGGACAACCUGCAGGUGUGCCACCUGCGGCAUGGUCGGGAGAGCGGCCGUUGAGGACGAUGCAACCAGAGGGUUCGCGACGAGCGCCAGGUGGGCAUCGGUAAGCGACCCGAGUUGCAGAGCCUGCCGUUGCUGACGUCAUCGUGGCAGGUAUGAGUUAAUUGAGCAAGCAUGUGCUUUUACUAAUCUCAAGUUGGUGCAUAGCAUGCAUUUGUUGUUGGUCGGUUGCUACUAAUUAUAUAUUGCAUAGUAGGGACCGAAUAGUCGGGUAAGUAGACGCCCGUACAUGCUUGCAUUGUGAGAAGUGGCACCUGCUGGUGCAAGUAGAAAGCCAAGUGGUGCUAGCUAAUGGCUAGUGAUGAUUCUCCGGUACGGAAUGAGGCUCGUGGAGAACAUGGUCUAGUAAGUGACUCUCGAAAUAAUGGGUUGAAAAUUGUGAGAGUUGAGCCUUGAUGUUGAGGAUACUCGAAAGACACGGGAGUUGAGAAUGUAUUCCGGUAGAUCGAACAGUGAAGGUAGAAUCACUGUUGAGAGAGUAACCGUAUAGUUGCCGAAUACGGGCACGUAGGCCUAGUAGUACCUCAAGUUGAGGUCGGCGAGUCCUGCUCGUGUAGUCGGUGUGCAUAGGCAAGGUUGCCUGAUGCUAGAUUUCGUGGAACGCUUUAGAGGCGUAGAGCGCUCGAGUGUAGUUACUCGUGAAGUGCGGUUUUGAUUCAGCCGGUUGAGUGAAUUGGCAGUAGCACUUUAGCAGGGCUAAGUGUGAAGCGGGCCAUGGAUCACUCGUAGGGCUGGUGGCUCGCACUAGGUACCUGGGGGCCGAUAGAGUGUGUAGCUCUGUAGAGCAUGUCGUUUAGGACGACGACGACGAGUGGUGCUUGAGGAUGACCCGUGCCUGGACCGUUUGUGAACUGUGUAGCCUGGGCCCAUUGGGCAGGCGCAGUCAGCUGUGAGAGACAGCGGCCCGAUACCUACUGGUAGGGCAUAGUGUUGGUCAGGACGGUAGUCCGAGCUUGGACAUAAGUACGUGGAAUGCCACGCGAUAGAUCGUGAGAUUGAUGGCACACCAAGUGUGUAGUGACCCAACCCGAGGACUUGACGUGGUCUAGGAUCUUGGUUGCACCUGGUUGGAGUGUGUGUGAAUUCUCCAAUGAGAAUUUCGCCCAAUGAUGAUUGGAUCUACGAUGCGGGCAAGAGACGCUAUGCGUAGUUGUGACAGGUAUAGGCGGUAGGCCUACGUAAUGAUUAUGAUCGUUGGUCCGCCUGUGAAAACCGAUGAUCAGUGCGGCAAGCAACUCUGUUAGUGAGUUGGGCUUGGAUUCACGAACGGAGGGUUCGUGUGAUGUUGAACGUGGCUUGUGGUAGUAAAGGAUAAAGAGAAAAGUAAAGUGUUCUCUAGGAGACACUUGAAUAAGAAAUAGCCACGUGAGGGUUGGUGUAAGGAAGUGAAUUCUCGAAAUGCGAGAGUUGGACUUCGCUCAAAAUCGACAAAUUGUCGAGUGGUUGUGCUUCGGAAAUGCCGAAGAGGUCAAAUACACCAAAGGUGCAUUGCAACGGAUCUGCGAGAGCAAGUGUGCAAAAAUCUGCACUUGGCAGAUUUGCUCUCGGGGACCGAUCCCUGUCAAGGAAGGACCGGUCCCCCGUAGCUGGUUGGUGCGAGGUUGCGUGAUGCAACCGGUCCCUUGGCCAGAGGGACCGGUCCCCCGUAUGCGAAACCGGCGAGAAGAGGAAAUUGGCUAAGUCCUGCGAGAGCAAGCUCUCGGGGACCGGUCUCUAGUGGACAGACCGGUCUCCGGGGGACCGGUCCUCCAGGGACAGACCGGUUCCCGUAAGUGUGUUCAGGCUGAAGGCUCUCGGGGACCGGUCCCUGGCAGGGAGAGACCGGUCCCUCUACACAUAAAAUUUUCCAGGCAGGCUGGGUCAUGUUGGAGGAGUUGGAAUUGUUUGAGUUUCGAGGACGAAACUCUUAUAAGGAGGGGAGAAUGUAACAUACCGAAUUUUAAAUAUAAAAGAGAAAAAUAAAUAAAAAUAGUAUGAGAUACUAUUUUAUUGGAUUUAGAGAAGUGAAAUAUCGGUUGGGAACGACCUGUGCUGAAAUCGGAGCGAAAACAGAAGAUUUAGAAUUUUCUGUUGGAAACGGGACUGAUAAAUUAGCAGAAAAUGCACAGUCUCAGAAAAUUAUAAAAAAUUAGAGGAUAAGUCAGAAAUAUUUUUAUGAGGCUAGAUUUGAAGUUUCAUAUUUUUCUGACGCCCGUAGAGAGAGAAAUAGCAUCCGAAAGCUAUCUGAUAAAGAUUGCAGUUCGGUACAGUUUUCAGUGACCAAACGGGGUCGAAACUGAAAUAUUAAAAUUUCUUUGGACUUAUUAAGUAAAACCGAGCAUGCCUGUCAAAUUUGAGCUCAAACGGACAUUCAGAAGGGCUCCGGCGAAAAAUAAACUGCCCGAAGUGAAUAGUGCGUAGUUGAGGGGCAAAAUGGUAAAAAGGGUUUAAAACCCCUUUUCUUCUUCUCCUCCCAACCGUGGCUGCCCCAACCGCACACACCACACACGCAUACACAAGAACACACACACGCAUGGAAAGGAAAGGAGAGAAAUCCCUUUCUCUCUCUAAAUCUCUCCCAAAAUGGAUGGAUUUGGUGGAGAUUGAAGCUUGGAGGUGGAUCGCCUUCGUCUUCUUCAUCUUCUCCAUGGUUUGGAGCUCAUUUUGAGGUGAGCUUCUUGAGCCCUUUAAUGGUAGAUCUUUAAUGCUUGGUUUAAAUAC